UACGGGGGGGGCAAGCGUUGUUCGGAAUUACUGGGCGUAAAGGGCUCGUAGGCGGCCAACUAAGUCGGAUGUGAAAUCCCCAGGCUUAACCUGGGAACUGCAUCCGAUACUGGAUGGCUUGAAUUCGGGAGAGGGAUGCAGAAUUCCAGGUGUAGCGGUGAAAUGCGUAGAUAUCGGAAGGAACAUCAGUGGCGAAAGCGACUUCCUGGACCAGUACCGACGUUCAGGCACGAAAGCGUGGGGAGCAAACAGG
rnacentral:rRNA from 1 species